GACGAACGCUGGCGGCGUGCUUAACACAUGCAAGUCGAACGGAAAGGCCCGGCUUUUGCGGGGUGCUCGAUAGCCGAACGGGAGAGAAACACGUGUGUAAACUGCCCUUGACAUACGGGUAUUAAUAGGAAACACGGGCUACUACCGGAUAGGAGAUCCUGCUGCAUGGUGGGGGUGGGAAAGUUACGGCGGUUGGGGAUGGACUCGCGGCUUGUCAGCUUGCUGUUGGGGUAGUGGCUUACCAAGGCUUCGAAGGGUAGCCGGCCUGAGAGGGGGACCUGCCACGUUGCGACUGAGAUACGGCCCAGACCCCUACGGGAGGCAGCGGUGGGGAAUAUUGCACAAUAGGCGGAAGCCUGAUGCAGCAACGCCGCGUGCGGGAAGUCGUCCUUGGGGUUGUGAACCGCUGUCGCCUGAGACGAGGCGUGAAUGACGGUAAUGGGUAAAGAAGCACCGGCUAACUACGUG
rnacentral:rRNA from 1 species